CCUACGGGAGGCCGCAGUGGGGAAUAUUGCACAAUGGGGGGAACCCUGAUGCAGCGACGCCGCGUGGGUGAAGGAGUAUUUCGGUAUGUAAAGCCCUAUCAGCAGGGAAGAACAAUGACGGUACCUGACUAAGAAGCACCGGCUAAAUACGUGCCAGCAGCCGCGGUAAUACGUAUGGUGCAAGCGUUAUCCGGAUUUACUGGGUGUAAAGGGAGCGCAGGCGGCGCGUUAAGCCUGGUGUGAAAGUCCGCGGCCCAACCGCGGGACUGCAUUGGGAACUGGCGCGCUGGAGUGCCGGAGGGGUAGGCGGAAUGCCUAGUGUAGCGGUGAAAUGCGUAGAUAUUAGGAGGAACACCAGUGGCGAAGGCGGCCUACUGGACGGUGACUGACGCUGAGGCUCGAAAGCGUGGGGAGCAAACAGGAUUAGAUACCCGAGUAGUC
rnacentral:rRNA from 1 species